GGUAUGACAUUAGAGAGUAAUUGAUGACUUGUUUGACACAGUUUGAUCAAAUAUUUUGUUUUGUUUUAAGUUAACUAUUGUAAAAUAUCUUGUUGUGAUUUUCUUGAUUUAUUUUGUUAUAUUAUUAUGUUUUCGAAUAUAAUUUUAUGACAUCCAGAGAGUAAAAGAAGGUGAAAGAACAAAAAUGAAAACGAUUGUGACGUUGUUUUGCUUUCGAGUCUAACUAUUGAGUAAAAGAG
rnacentral:lncRNA from 1 species